AUGUCUAAGUCAGAGUCUCCCAAAGAGCCUGAACAGCUGCGGAAGCUCUUCAUCGGAGGUUUGAGCUUUGAAACAACCGAUGAGAGUCUGAGGAGCCAUUUUGAGCAAUGGGGAACGCUUACAGACUGUGUGGUAAUGAGAGAUCCAAACACCAAGUGCUCCAGAGGCUUUGGGUUUGUCACGUAUGCCACUGUGGAGGAGGUGGAUGCAGCCAUGAACGCAAGGCCACACAAGGUGGAUGGAUGGAAGAGUUGUGGAACCAAAGAGGGCUGUCUCAACAGAAGAUUCUCAAAGACCUGGUGCCCACUUAACUGUGAAAAAGAUUUUUGUUGGUGGCAUUAAAGAAGACCCUGAAGAACAUCAUCUAAGAGAUUAUUUUGAACAGUAUGGGAAAAUUGAAGUGAUUGAGAUCAUGAUUGACCGAGGCAGUGGCAAAAAGAGAGGUUUCACUUUUGUAACAUUUGAUGACCAUGACUCUGUAGACAAGAUUGUCCUUCAAAAAUACCAUACUGUGAAUGGCCACAACUGUGAAGUAAGGAAAACCCUAUGUAAGCAAGAGAUGGCCAGUGCUUCAUCCAGCCAGAGGUCGAAGUGGUUCUGGAAACUUUGGUGGUGGUCGUGGAGGUGGUUUUGGUGGGAAUGACAACUUUGGUCGUGGAGGGAACUUCAGUGGUCGAGGUGGCUUUGGUGGCAGUCGAGGUGGUGGUGGAUAUGGUGGCAGUGGGGAUGGCUAUAACGGAUUUGGUAAUGAUGGAAGCAACUUUGGGAGGUGGCAGAAGCUAUAAUGAUUUUGGCAAUUACAACAAUCAAUCCUCAAAUUUUGGACCCAUGAAAGGAGGAAAUUUUGGAGGCAGAAGCUCUGACCCCUAUGGUGGUGGAGGCCAAUACUUUGCCAAACCACAAAACCAAGGUGGCUAUGGUGGUUCCAGCAGCAGCAGUAGCUAUGGCAGUGGCAGGUUUUAAUUACUGCCAGGAAACAAAGCUUAGCAGGAGAGGAGAGCCAGAG